UACCCGCUGAGUUUAAGCAUAUCAAUAAGCGGA
rnacentral:rRNA from 1 species